UACAGAGGGUGCGAGCGUUGUUCGGAAUUAUUGGGCGUAAAGGGCGCGUAGGCGGUGCGGUAAGUCACCUGUGAAAUCUCCUGGCUCAACUGGGAGCUUGCAGGCGAAACUGCCGUGCUGGAGUGUGGGAGAGGUGCGUGGAAUUCCUGGUGUAGCGGUGAAAUGCGUAGAUAUCAGGAGGAACACCUGUGGCGAAAGCGGCGAUCUGGGAAGAUACUGACGCUGAGGUGCGAAAAGCGUGGGGGAGCAAACAGG
rnacentral:rRNA from 1 species